GACAGAGGGUGCAAACGUUGUUCGGAAUUACUGGGCGUAAAGCGCGUGUAGGCGGCUAAGUAAGUCGGGCGUGAAAUCCCACGGCUCAACCGUGGAAGUGCACUCGAAACUGCAUAGCUAGAGUCCUGGAGAGGAAGGUGGAAUGCUUGGUGUAGAGGUGAAAUUCGUAGAUAUCAAGCGGAACACCGGUGGCGAAGGCGGCCUUCUGGACAGUGACUGACGCUGAGACGGACGAAAGCGGUGGGAGCAAACAGGG
rnacentral:rRNA from 1 species